AAAAAGGGAGAGAGAAGCGGCAGCUGCCCCUCGCUUGCCCCCCCCCCAACUGCUUCCUCCACGCCCGGCCCACGAGCGUGUGCGGGGUGUUCCUCGUGGGGGUGGGAUUCGGUGCAAGAGAAAAACAAAGCCCCGUCCGCUUGGAUCGGCCAGAAACAGGAAACCGCGUGUUUGCAGAACAGUAUCAGAACAGGGACUCAUGCAGAGACGGCGAUCGAUUGCGCCAGCGUGCAGUUCCCCUUCCUAUGGAAAUAGCCGCCUUUUCGACCUCCUCCCGAUUUCCCUUUCUUCCGCACCUCUUCUUCGUCGCAACUGCAUCCAAUCGUACUAGCAGCUCCAGACAUUAAAGGGUUCUAGGUGGCAAAAGAGGCUGGAUCUGCCUCUCAUAGGGGCUUCCUACAUCCACAAAGCUAACCCUGCAGUGCAGAGUCUGUUUCCUACCUCCAGGUGCUGUGUGAGGACUGGGCAAGGGUGACUUACUCAGCCCUGUAACUCUGCCAAUAACCACUAAGGGCGCACACUCCACAUCACCUGCCCCGACCGGGUCUGUGAUGGCCCUUAACGCCCUUUUACUCAUCCCGGUGUAUCAUCAGGGUUGCUGCAAGAGCGGAUAUUUCUCACUCUCAACGGAGAAGUAUGGGUGGAGUGAAGACAGUCACGUUUGCGAGUGUGUAAACGGAACCAAGCGGCGGUACUUGCUCCGGAUUAAUUAAUUCGGAUUAUAAAACCCCGAGCUUGUGCCGAAAGUACUGUAAGGCGGAGAAGGGGAACAAACCGAGCGCCUCUUUACUCCCUCCUUGCAUGUGUUAAGAGUUGCUUUUUAAAAAUAAAAUGGAACGAGGGUCGCUGUGUUUUCUCCGUGGCUAUAAUGGACUGGAAUACAGAACAUUUAUUUAA